UGGGGAAUCUUCCGCAAUGGGCGAAAGCCUGACGGAGCGACACCGCGUGAAGGAUGAAGGUUUUAUUAUUGUAAACUUCUUUUCUGUGGGAAGAUAAUGACGGUACCACAGGAAUAAGGGACGGCAAACUACGUGCCAGCAGCCGCGGUAAUACGUAGGUCCCGAGCGUUAUCCGGAAUUACUGGGCGUAAAGCGUUUCUAGGCGGGUAUCUAAGUUAAAUGUUAAAUACUAUGGCUCAACCAUAGAACUAUGUUUAAAACUGGAUACCUAGAAUCAGGGAGAGGUAAGCAGAAUUAUGCGAGUAGGGGUGCAAUCCGUUGAUACGCAUAAGAAUACCAAAAGCGAAGGCAGCUUACUGGAACUGUAUUGACGCUCAUAAAACGAAAGCGUGGGGAGCGAAAAGG
rnacentral:rRNA from 1 species